rnacentral:lncRNA from 1 species
ACCCCAUUCUAACUUUGAGCUUCAUGGAACAGUGAGACCAAGACAAUACUUAUGGGUAUGGUAGGACUUCUACCAAAUGAGCCUUCAAACUCAGAUCCAGAAAUGAAUCUAGGAAUUUGCAUCUUUGAGACCAAUUGUCAUUUAUUCCACAGUCUCUGCUUUAUUAUUUUUUUCUUUUUUUUAAAUAUUAUUUCCUAAGAUCUAUGUGGCCUAAUGCAGAGUGAAAUGAAAAGAAUCAGGAAAACAUUAUAUACACAGUAACUGAAAUAUUGUGGACCAGUUAAAUGUGAUAGACUUUGCUACUAACAGUGAUUGUGAUUUUUAAAUUUCCUCCAUCUUGCUUGGUCUAGCACCCAAGAAUGUGCACACCCACACUAUACUGGCAUGUGCUAGCUAAUGACAAAUCAGAAACAACUAACUGCCCCCCUGGGCUGUCCUAAGCCAAGCUUGAGCCACCAUUGGCACAUAUGAGCCGCAGGAAGUGAGGUAGAGAACAGCCUCUGGAGAUUGGGCACUUCCUGUGGAGAGGGCUAGAUGCCAGUUCGAUCCUGGAGCUCGAGCUGGGAGGAGGCCCGCAGACAGCUUUCCUUCAGAUCGGUCACGUGAGUGAUAAGGACUGACUCCCUUCUCUGCCUUGGCUCUCCAAGGUCUUAUGCUCCCACUUGACUCAGCCUGAACCAGAGUGGUUGAGUUAACCUCUUUUCUUCUCUCCUUUCCUUCUCUCCGUCUCUCUCUCUCCCUCUAAUAAUUUCUUUUUCCUGUUAUAAUUAAAUUACCAUAAAACUCCAUUCUGACUUGAGUGUUUCAUUUAGGAUUUUUAUAACUAAAAUCCAUGGCAACCUAUAAUUAAUAUAAUUAGUCUCUAACACUAAAUUUGAAUCGAACAUGAUCCAGGACAAUUCUGAGGGACUUAUAAAAAAAGAAUGCUCUCCACCUCUAGAGAAAGAACUGUUGGAGUAUAAGUGCAGAUUUAUAAGAUUAUUCACUAACAAAUGGAUGCAGAUUUCCUCAGAGAUGGAGAUAAAUCUAUUGGAAAUAUUUCUUAAACAACUAUUAUGAGCUCAACACAGCAUCUAGCCCUGUAAGUCUAUCAAUAUGAACCGUAUAACCUCUGGAAGUCUCUGGCAUCUCUACAAUUCUCUAAAACUAAGAAAAGAUCUGGCGCCUAAAGUUUUUUCAGUUUUUUUUUUUAUUAUUAAAUUGGAAAGAAAGAGUUCACUUACCUUUGCUGAAUCAAAGGGAUGGGGUGAAAGCCCAGUUUCUUGACGAUGAAUCACACACCUUGAACCACAGGUCGGGCAAAUUGGUGGACACCUUCAGGUUCCAACCUGCAUGGCAACCCCACCUUGGAAAGCCUCGUCAUCCUGGUGAGUGAGCGUGCCAGAUUCCACAAACCUGUACUUGCCGAUGGAGAGCCCCUCCGGCCAAGAGCAGUACCACCAGCCAACAAGGGGCACUGAGGAGCCUAUGACUGGCAUAAGGGGAAGUUGAAUCACUCCUUUGAUAUGGCGCGAUUCUUCUCAACCCAUGAAAAAAGCAAGACACCAUUUUGCUCCCUUGUGACUGCUUACCGAAGAAAGAUUUCUUGCCGCAAGAUUCUAAGUCAAGAAGAAAGAGUGACUUUUUUGGUUUUAUCGAUUUCAUAGUUGGGAAAUUCUGGUAAGAUGAAUUGAUAGGCUCUUUUAUAAAUUUUUAGCUUAUUUUUAAAAGUUUUUUAAAAUAAAAAAAAAUCUUUCAUUAAGAAUUUUAACUGU